AUACAGAGGGUGCGAGCGUUAAUCGGAAUUACUGGGCGUAAAGCGCGCGUAGGCGGCUACUUAAGUCAGAUGUGAAAUCCCCGGGCUCAACCUGCGAACUGCAUCUGAUACUGGGUAGCUAGAGUUUUGGAGAGGGAAGUAGAAUUUCAGGUGUAGCGGUGAAAUGCAUAGAGAUCUGAAGGAAUACCAGUGGCGAAGGCGACUUCCUGGCCAAAAACUGACGCUGAGGUGCGAAAGCGUGGGUAGUAAACGGGAUUAGAAACCCUAGUAGUCC
rnacentral:rRNA from 1 species